CUCUACUCGUAUUUGGCUGUCAAUUUUUUUCUACACUUUUAUGUGUAUUUUGUGCAAGAAAAUGCAAUAAAAUAGUCCGCCUAAGAAAAAUUGAGUUAUAUUGGGAACUUUUUUAUAAUUUUGGUUUUUUUGGUAAAAUGACUUUUAGGUGGUAAUAGGUGUCUUCCUCUACUCGUAUUUGGCUGUCAAUUUUUUUCUACACUUUUAGGUGUAUUUUGUGCAAGAAAAUGCAAUAAAAUAGUCCGCCUAAGAAAAAUUGAAUUAUAUUGGGAACUUUUUUAUAAUUUUGGAUUUAUGGGUAAAAUGACUUUUAGGUGGUAAUAGGUGUCUUCCUCUACUCGUAUUUGGCUGUCAACUUUUUUCUACACUUUUAGGUGUAUUUUGUGCAAGAAAAUGCAAUAAAAUAGUCCGCCUAAGAAAAAUUGAAUUAUAUUGGGAACUUUUUUAUAAUUUUGGAUUUAUGGGUAAAAUGACUUUUAGGUGGUAAUAGGUGUCUUCCUCUACUCGUAUUUGGCUGUCAACUUUUUUCUACACUUUUAGGUGUAUUUUGUGCAAGAAAAUGCAAUAAAAUAGUCCGCCUAAGAAAAAUUGAAUUAUAUUGGGAACUUUUUUAUAAUUUUGGUUUUUUUGGUAAAAUGACUUUUAGGUGGUAAUAGGUGUCUUCCUCUACUCGUAUUUGGCUGUCAAUUUUUUUCUACACUUUUAGGUGUAUUUUGUGCAAGAAAAUGCAAUAAAAUAGUCCGCCUAAGAAAAAUUGAAUUAUAUUGGGAACUUUUUUAUAAUUUUGGAUUUAUGGGUAAAAUGACUUUUAGGUGGUAAUAGGUGUCUUCCUCUACUCGUAUUUGGCUGUCAACUUUUUUCUACACUUUUAGGUGUAUUUUGUGCAAGAAAAUGCAAUAAAAUAGUCCGCCUAAGAAAAAUUGAAUUAUAUUGGGAACUUUUUUAUAAUUUUGGAUUUAUGGGUAAAAUGACUUUUAGGUGGUAAUAGGUGUCUUCCUCUACUCGUAUUUGGCUGUCAACUUUUUUCUACACUUUUAGGUGUAUUUUGUGCAAGAAAAUGCAAUAAAAUAGUCCGCCUAAGAAAAAUUGAAUUAUAUUGGGAACUUUUUUAUAAUUUUGGAUUUAUGGGUAAAAUGACUUUUAGGUGGUAAUAGGUGUCUUCCUCUACUCGUAUUUGGCUGUCAAUUUUUUUCUACACUUUUAGGUGUAUUUUGUGCAAGAAAAUGCAAUAAAAUAGUCCGCCUAAGAAAAAUUGAAUUAUAUUGGGAACUUUUUUUUAAUUUUGGUUUUUUUGGUAAAAUGACUUUUAGGUGGUAAUAGGUGUCUUCCUCUACUCGUAUUUGGCUGUCAAUUUUUUUCUACACUUUUAUGUGUAUUUUGUGCAAGAAAAUGCAAUAAAAUAGUCCGCCUAAGAAAAAUUGAAUUAUAUUGGGAACUUUUUUAUAAUUUUGGUUUUUUUGGUAAAAUGACUUUUAGGUGGUAAUAGGUGUCUUCCUCUACUCGUAUUUGGCUGUCAAUUUUUUUCUACACUUUUAUGUGUAUUUUGUGCAAGAAAAUGCAAUAAAAUAGUCCGCCUAAGAAAAAUUGAAUUAUAUUGGGAACUUUUUUAUAAUUUUGGUUUUUUUGGUAAAAUGACUUUUAGGUGGUAAUAGGUGUCUUCCUCUACUCGUAUUUGGCUGUCAAUUUUUUUCUACACUUUUAGGUGUAUUUUGUGCAAGAAAAUGCAAUAAAAUAGUCCGCCUAAGAAAAAUUGAAUUAUAUUGGGAACUUUUUUUUAAUUUUGGUUUUUUUGGUAAAAUGACUUUUAGGUGGUAAUAGGUGUCUUCCUCUACUCGUAUUUGGCUGUCAAUUUUUUUCUACACUUUUAGGUGUAUUUUGUGCAAGAAAAUGCAAUAAAAUAGUCCGCCUAAGAAAAAUUGAGUUAUAUUGGGAACUUUUUUAUAAUUUUGGUUUUUUUGGUAAAA